GUUAUCUGGUGUGAACUAAUCAGAGUGGGACAUGACAGCACGGUUAUCUAGGUAAAAAUGUAUAUAAGCUGUGUUUAGUAGUGAAUAAACGCCAUUUGCCUCACUUACUCCUGGGGUCUGGGUGAGCAUCUGGCCCCGACCUGGUAAAGGGUCGGUUUCGCCCAGCAGUAAGCCCUACAUGUGGACAGAGGACGAACACCGGACGAGCGAACGGAGACUACAUGCAACAAGUGGUGACCCCGACGUGAUCUGUCUGCUGAGGGUGGCUGCCCGGCGUGCCCGUGACGCGGAGAAGAGCCUGUGAGGUGGCGGCAGGUCGCAUACGUAACAAUGGACCAAGUCAUUAAGGUACUUGUGCAGUUUUGUAAGGACUACUGUGGAAAAUCUGCUCCUUCCCGGAAGGAGAUCGCGGCAGUUUUGUCGCUGUUAAAUGAGCUGGGGGAGCUGGACUCUCCCCGCUACGUUUUGGAUUCGAGUAGGUGGGACUUGCUCACCUCGGUGCUAUGCCAGCGCGCCAUGGCCAGUCAGAAGGCUACGGAACUUAAAACGUGGGGACUGAUAUUAGGAGCCCUUAAAGCGGCCAGAGUUGAGGGAAAGGUAUUGGUGGAGGCUCGAUACCUUUUGGGUCUCAGCGGAGGAGGUGAGACACAGGACCCGGUCGGGUCCGAUGGGGGUUCGGGAGCAGUUUCUUGCAGGGGCCGAGAGGAGACGGAGCCGCCAAUGACCGUUGGCGGGAUGGCGCCGGCUGAGCCGACCGCGCUCACUUCAAAAGAAGACAAACAACAAGAGAGUGAAAGUUCGUUGUCUCGUCCCCCUCUCCCGUAUCUGAACCCCUCAGGCGGAACGUUGUAUCCUUUAUCAGAAUUACGUCAGUGUUACCUGACUCAAGGGGGCGGAGGAAGCUGUGAUCUACACGGGCAGGAUCAACUUAGUGCCCACAUGGGGAGGGACCAGACAAAAGGUCCGUCCAAUGCGGACAGGGGGCAUAGCCUACUGUCUCUGGUCACUCCCAGGGGCGGUAGUGCGAGUGAUAGUGUAGAAGAGAAAGAAGGGACUGGCUUUGAGUGCAGGGGGAGGGAUCAAAUGACGGACUGGAAUGGGAUUAGAUCGGAGGCUUUGGGAAAGGGUAUAGUUCCAGAGGCAUUCCGGGUGAUUGUGAGUGAUCGUGGUCCCGAAUGGGUGCCGCCUGACCCCGGGGGUGUUACGCGCCUGGUGGAAUUUAUGGAUAAAAGAGGCCUGAAAUCGCCUCUGACAUUAAAUGCACUACAAACUUUGGCUGCACUGGGGCCUCUCUUCCCCCGUGACAUCACAAACUUAAUGCGUACGGUGCUCAGGCUGGUUCAAUAUACGUUAUGGGAGACGGACUGGGUGGCCGAGUUGGGGGGCCGUGCCGGGGCGACAGGGGUCGGCCCGCGCCGCUCCCUGCAUGGGACCGGAAUACAGCGGCUUUCAGGGAAGGCCGUGGGAGUGGCUUCGCCCCAGGGCCAGCUAGCGAGACUAAGGCCAGGGGAGCUAAUAGCAGCCACAGAUGCAACGGUGGAAGCGUUUAAUAAACUUGUGCAUAAGGCCGAACCACCUACUCCGUGCACAGAUAUUACCCAGGGCCCGAAUGAAUCCUUUCAAAGCUUUACAGACAGGCUUUUAGCUGCUGCAGAGGGGUCUGAUCUCCUGGUACCGGCCCAAGGGCCAGUGAUCAUUGACUGCUUGCAGCAGAAAUCGCAUGACAAUGUUAAGGCAUUGCCGCGAGCCGGCCGAAGUACGCUUAAUAGCUCGGGAGAAGUUAUUCAGUAUGUCUUAGAUAAGCUCAAGGUGGCUCAUUUAACUAAUGAAAGGCUAGUCACAGCUAUUGUCGUAGCUGUUGGCCUGCGACAGCAAAGAUCGCUGCAGCAGCAAGGGCUGUGUUUCCAUACGGCCAGUAUGGCCAUGUUAGAGCACAAUGCCCCUGUGGGGGAGGCCAGUCAGGGCCUCCUGAUCACAGGAAGGGCUUGCUAAAGGGUAUCCGUGGUCGGGUAUGCAGCAGUUAAAUAUCAUGAAUCUGGGAAAUUCUGUGGGUACCAUCACGAAAAGUAAUACCAGAUAUAAGUAGCAUAUCUGCAAAAACUGAGUCUAGGUGCGAGUUUUCUACAGAAAUUCUUCGUUGGCAGACCGAAGCCAACUCCAGAACAACUGAGGGACAGACGAUGGGAUCAAGAACCACUCGUCAAGAGGAGCACUACACCUGCAACGCUGACACUUCCAAUGUUGCUGAUAUUUAUGGUGUCCAUGGCGAUUACAGAGUGUCACAAACAACUACAAUGGACACAAGAACAUAUGCAGAAAAUUAAAGAAGAGCGUGAUCCCUUUGGAAGCUGGCUGGACGGACUGUUUGGGGGAACGGGUUCAUGGUUAAAGCAAUUGCUUAAAGCUCUCGCAGUAGGAUUUGCAAUCUUUGUGUGUAUUCUAAUCUGUCUUCCAUGCUUUGUAGGAUGCUUGCCUUCAACGAAUGAUGGACAAGACUUUUGACUAUCACAUUGAGUAUCAUAGAUUGCGUGAAAAAUUAUAGAGGGGUUUAGGUUGUUGCGUUCGUGCUGUAACGGGGCAAGGCUUGGCCGAGCACGGAAAAGAAUUCCCUGUUGCUCUGAUGAUUGCUUAAGAACUGUAGUAGAAAAUAGUAGGAAUAGUGUGCUGAAAUAUAUUUAGGAUUAGGCGUUUUGCGCUGCUUCGCGAUGUACGGGUUAGGUGUGUGUGUAAGUAGUAUUUAGCUUAGGGAGGGGGAGAUGUUGUAGUAGGCGUCUUGCGGGGGCACGGGAUGUACGGGACAGGCCUCUCCCUAAACAUAGAGAGAUAGUGCUAUCGUGCUGACCUUGUUGCAGAGAAAACAGGAGAAGAAGAAGGAUGAUAAAAGAAUGUGGAAAUGGCCAAAUAAGGCACAAUGUUAUCUGGUGUGAACUAAUCAGAGUGGGACAUGACAGCACGGUUAUCUAGGUAAAAAUGUAUAUAAGCUGUGUUUAGUAGUGAAUAAACGCCAUUUGCCUCACUUACUCCUGGGGUCUGGGUGAGCAUCUGGCCCCGACCUGGUAAAGGGUCGGUUUCGCCCAGCAGUAAGCCCUACAUGUGGACAGAGGACGAACACCGGACGAGCGAACGGAGACUACAUGCAACACAGCCCCAACGGGUAAAAUGUUCAGGCUUACUCUCCCAGAUGCCCUGAGUGAGUGCUGUAGAUCCUCCUAACAAAUACAUGCAUGAAACAUGGAAACAAGGAUGGGAAGACUGAUGGUUCUUCCUGCAGCAUGUUGGUUUCUAUGACUCCAAAAGGAGCUCAGACACUGAAGUGACAAAAAACUUGCUAAAAUCUGCUAAAAUAGAUCAGGGCAAUUAAAAGUAUGUCUCACUUUGGUCGGUGUGCUUAGGAUCCAUCAAGAAAAACAGAAAGCAGAGAUGGAUGCAUGUAUGCACAUUAAAUGGAAGUAUUAAGUAUUAGAUAAUAGCAGUG
ensembl:lncRNA